rnacentral:rRNA from 1 species
AUUGAACGCUGGCGGCAGGCUUAACACAUGCAAGUCGAGCGGAGUGAUGGUGCUUGCACUAUCACUUAGCGGCGGACGGGUGAGUAAUGCUUAGGAAUCUGCCUAUUAGUGGGGGACAACAUCUCGAAAGGGAUGCUAAUACCGCAUACGUCCUACGGGAGAAAGCAGGGGAUCACUUGUGACCUUGCGCUAAUAGAUGAGCCUAAGUCGGAUUAGCUAGUUGGUGGGGUAAAGGCCUACCAAGGCGACGAUCUGUAGCGGGUCUGAGAGGAUGAUCAGCCACACGGGGACUGAGACACGGCCCAGACUCCUACGGGAGGCAGCAGUGGGGAAUAUUGGACAAUGGGGGGAACCCUGAUCCAGCCAUGCCGCGUGUGUGAAGAAGGCCUUAUGGUUGUAAAGCACUUUAAGCGAGGAGGAGGCUCUUUUGGUUAAUACCCAAGAUGAGUGGACGUUACUCGCAGAAUAAGCACCGGCUAACUCUGUGCCAGCCGCCGCAGUAAAAC